UGGGGAAUUUUGGACAAUGGGCGAAAGCCUGAUCCAGCAAUGCCGCGUGUGUGAAGAAGGCCUUCAGGUUGUAAAGCACUUUUGUCCGGAAAGAAAUCCUUGGCUCUAAUACAGUCGGGGGAUGACGGUACCGGAAGAAUAAGCACCGGCUAACUACGUGCCAGCAGCCGCGGUAAUACGUAGGGUGCAAGCGUUAAUCGGAAUUACUGGGCGUAAAGCGUACGCAGGCGGUUUGCUAAGACCGAUGUGAAAUCCCCGGGCUCAACCUGGGAACUGCAUUGGUGACUGGCAGGCUAGAGUAUGGCAGAGGGGGGUAGAAUUCCACGUGUAGCAGUGAAAUGCGUAGAGAUGUGGAGGAAUACCGAUGGCGAAGGCAGCCCCCUGGGCCAAUACUGACGCUCAUGCACGAAAGCGUGGGGAGCAAACAGGAUUAGAUACCCUGGUAGUCCACGCCCUAAACGAUGUCAACUAGUUGUUGGGGAUUCAUUUCCUUAGUAACGUAGCUAACGCGUGAAGUUGACCGCCUGGGGAGUACGGUCGCAAGAUUAAAAC
rnacentral:rRNA from 1 species